UUCUAGAACAUCCUCGGCCACUUGGAGUACUUCAGUGAUCGCCCCCUGAGCCUGGCCCUGGCCUUCGAGGCCCUCCUGCAGUUGAGUUUUAUGAGACCCCACUUCAGUCCCUCUGUGGUCAGUGCGAUCCUCCAUAGAACAACAGAGGCAGUUCUGGGGAGCGCAGAGGAGGACAAAGUGGAACUGAAGAGGCCAUUCCAGAGCCUGCUGGGGGGUCUCCUCCUAGAA